CAGAAAAAUAACUAUAAAAAAUGCCUGCUUUAGAUGAUUUACCAAAUGUAUCCAGCUUCUUUGGGAUUGAUUUGAAAACAGGAUCAAUGAUUAUAGCAGCCUUGGGUAUCGUACACCCAAUGGCUUACGGCUGUUCAUUCUUCGUUCCUCUGAGCUAUCUUCUAGUGACAGUAUGGAUAUUGGUAGCUCUAUAUUUCGCAGCAAGCAUAGUUCUGUUUUGGGGAUUAACAAACGAUGACACUUACCUAUGUGCAAUAUGGAUAUGGUAUGCGUUAAUUUUUGUGGUGGUGAUGUUAAUGAUGAUGAUGUUGUUGGCUCUGGUCUUCACCUCCAGGAAACAGAGGAAUCGAGUAGUCGUCGUCUUAUUUGGCAUUCUAUGGU